AAUUCUCAACCUUUUCAGUUUUCUGAUCAGGCUUGGAUUGUGGGAGUUUGCAGGCUUCACAGAAGUCUGCUCUCCUGAAAUACAUUAGCAGGAACCUCUUGUGGGUUAGCUCUGGUGUGAUAAUUAUCUACGCCAUGGCUUUCCAAAGCAAGUCCAGCUUCUAACUGUCUUUGGACAACUUUUAACA
rnacentral:misc_RNA from 1 species